rnacentral:rRNA from 1 species
CGCUGGCGGCGUGCCUAAUACAUGCAAGUCGAACGCACUCUCGUUUAGAUUGAAGGAGCUUGCUCCUGAUUGAUAAACAUUUGAGUGAGUGGCGGACGGGUGAGUAACACGUGGGUAACCUGCCCUAAGUGGGGAUAACAUUUGGAAACAGAUGCUAAUACCGCAUAAAACCUAACACCGCAUGGUGUAGGGUUGAAAGAUGGUUUCGGCUAUCACUUUAGGAUGGACCCGCGGUGCAUUAGUUAGUUGGUGAGGUAAAGGCUCACCAAGACCGUGAUGCAUAGCCGACCUGAGAGGGUAAUCGGCCACACUGGGACUGAGACACGGCCCAGACUCCUACGGGAGGCAGCAGUAGGGAAUCUUCCACAAUGGACGAAAGUCUGAUGGAGCAACGCCGCGUGAGUGAAGAAGGUUUUCGGAUCGUAAAACUCUGUUGUUGGAGAAGAAUGUAUCUGAUAGUAACUGAUCAGGUAGUGACGGUAUCCAACCAGAAAGCCACGGCUAACUACGUG